CUCACAGGCCGCCCUUGAUAACUAUUAUACUUUGAUACCUAAAGAUAUGGGAAAAUCAAACUGUUGAACCAAUGUUUUGAACAUCAAAAUGUUAAAUAAAAGCAUGGAAUCACAUGGCUUGGUUCUUAUUCUUACUUUAUGUGUUGGCUCCUAGUGCUCACAUGCCCAACUCAACUUUGUUCCUACUCUCUCUUACUCACAAGAACUAGGACAAGUUUUGUCUUUCUGAAAUCCAUGACAUACAGCAUUUGGGACCCCAAUUGUCUUUCUUUUUAACCAUUUUUUUGUUUUUUUUUUUAAUCUGGGGUCUUUUGAAUAUGGCAUAUUUUUUAAUUUUUCUAAACGAUAAUUACAAGUUGUAAUUAUCUGAUUCGAGGGAAAAGUGUGAUGGAAGUAAAGGACUAAACUGUAGGUCUCUGGAGUCUGGAUUGUAAAGUUCAUAUGAAAAAUGUGUCACCUAAUUUAGGUGGUAAAAAUAAAAAGGGUUGGUAAACAAUAGCAUUUCUAAGAUGGAUAAGAAAAUGAAAAGGGUGGCCACCUUAGGUGGAAAGCUUUAAUUUGGUGGUCAUCAGUGGUGACAAGCUGGGAUUUUUAUCUCUUUUUUAUGCAUUAUUUUAUUGGUCAUCAGUGGUGACAACCCCUCCGAGCAAGUGUUGACCUGAAUAGAUUCAGGAGAAGGUUUGACUUAAAUGCAUAACUUAUUGGAAUUAGGCAUACUUAUAAAUUGUUCUUUUAGUUGGAUACGUUUCUUACCCCGUGUUGUUUUUUUUUCCCAGUUAAUAGCCACUUUGGUGAGACUAAUAUGAAUGGUUGUAGUGGUAGAUCACAACCAAAUAUCCUUCAGCCGGUGAUUGAAAGCAAGGCAAAGGACAAUGGUGGUUAGUCCAAUGAGGAGUGACGGAUACGCUUACGGGUGAGAACCUUCUAAUAUAAAUUCCGAGCAUGGAGCAACGAUGGGCCCGGGAUGCACUUAAUACAAAGACUAAGGGGAAAAUACGCAUGUAUUGACUUCCAUGCAAUCUGAAAAUAGGUGUCAGUAAAAUGGGUCUCAUGCUCGCCGCCAUUGUUAAUCAAAUGCCCAAAGUGCCCAAGUGUGGGUGGAAAUGUCCCAAACAUAAGUCUCACUUGUUAUAUUAAUGUGUAACUUGGUAUAGAUUAUUUUAGUAAUACUACAGUCUUCAAAUCAAUUAUAUAAUACAGAUGAUAGUUUAUUAUGUAAUUAAUCGCUCAGCUUGUAUUUGAGAUAUGAUCAGUAAGAAUUUCCACCCAAUGAUAGUUAAUUGAAUUGACACUUGUGUGAAAUUAAACACUUUGAUAGAAUGGUCUCAGCUAUAUUUGUUG